CCCACACCUGAGAGCUGGUCCGUGUUUAGAGGUGCUGGUGAAGAGUCACAAUGUCAAAAAUUAGGAUGAAAAUAAAAUAGGGUUUUCACAUGAAGGCAUAAUAAUGAAACCAAACCAAAGGGAUAAAGAGAGUCAGCACGAUGAACACAGCGGUUCAACCCAGUCACCUCACAGCUUGCUCCAUAAGUGCCCACGCACAACUCAACUCAAAGCAGCACAAAACGGAGGAGCACACCAAACAAGGCUGGUUUAAAGAAAAUCAUCAGAUUUUUUAAAAAUUUACAAAUACUUCAAUGGCAAAAAGUCUGAAACAGUCCCAAAUUGAAGAAGAUUUUUAUGGAAAGUACAUGAGAUCUUUCAUGCUCAUGCAUAAUAGAUAGGUUGCACCCAAACGAAUCCUGCCAGGCCUAAAGAUGAAAUGUUGAAUCAUCCCUUUCAGGGCAGUGAACCUACAAUUUCAUCCCAGAAAGUCUACCUCUUUCCCAGCUGAAGUUUGUUUAGACAAAAAGAUAAGCUUAAACUACACCAGUUUAGAUCCUCCUCUAGUUCUACUUUUCUACAAAUUCCUGCACUGUUCGGGGUUAAGAAUUUAAUUUACCUGAUCACAAAGAUUCAAGAUAGACACAACAUUUGGAUCUGGAAACAGGUAAGGAUGUCCCCAUAGAAGAGGCUGGCCAGCUUGUGGCUUUGAUUCAGGGCCACAUCUCAUCAUAGCUGGCAUUACAGCCAGGAUCAACUGUGUAGCCCCUCAACUCCUUGUACAUGCCAAAGAAUCCAUAACUCCAGAUUCACAAGCCCUAACAGUACCACAGAAAAUAAUUUGUGAAGUUUGAGACCUCCAGAACCAAACAUAAAACCCAGGGAAACGUAGGAACAUGACAGCUGUGAUAUGCUGGGUUCUACUAUGGAGCCAAGUUGUCACCCUGGUCCCAGCAUUAUGGAUUAGAGCUGAAAACCCUUUCUGCUACAUAAAAAAGUCUGCUACAUAAAAAGUAGAAGAUGUAUUUCCUAGUCCAAGACCCGUUUCCUAGUCCUAUCUUACAGUUCUCAUACUUUCUUCAAUGUAGCCAACCCAAUUAUGUGGUGGAUGAAAGAGCAACUCUCUGCUUGACCCCAGCAAAAUCCACAAAAGUGCGUGUUUUGAAACCCAGGUGCAUGUCAUUAAUCAUAAAACAACUGCUGGGGGGCUUCAGAGGACAGGGUGGGAGGAGAGGAAAAUCUGCAGGAGGUGGCAGCAUCUGGCUCAUGGGAUAUUGACAUGGAGAAGCUACACUUUCUGAUGAAAAUCAAAGUCUGGCUCAUUGCCUUGACUAGCAGCCACACAGUCACCAAAACCUAACGCCAUGCUUCAACUAGAGUGAAGACAUAGGAAUGUCUACGCUACGUCUAGACGCAGAUUAAGAACACUCUGAAACACAGGCUUAAACUGAGCCUACAGCCUCUAGACAACGUAGACCCAGCCUAUGCAACACCCAUUUUCUUCAGGGGGACAUCCAGUAAAUAAACCCCAUGAUGUCAGGGAAAGGUGGAAGAUUCUGCCAGGGCAGACGGAGUGCAAGGCUGCCAACCUGACAAUACUAGUACGACAAAACCCAGAUGUUUGUAACUGUUCAUGGGCCAGAAACUCACAGCACAGCCCUCCCAGUUAGAUCUUCAAACAUAAAUGCUUAGCCUUUGCAGUGCUUUUGAAGAUGCUAGAUUACAACAAACAACUGGACUGCCUCGUCGUGUUAUAAAGCACAUGAAGUUGCCCGACCAGGAGUACUACUCUGUGCUACAGCAGCUACAACCUUACGGAACAUUGGACCCGGGUUCCUGCUAAGGCAGGCUGCAAGGACUUCCAUUUUAGUCCUCCUCUGCAAAUGCCCAUAACGUUCCUGAAUUUUCUGAGCUGCAACUUUUCACACUGCUUUCUCUGCCAGUGUUGGCUUUCAUUAUUUCUUUCAAAUAUAAACUUGGAGCAAAA